GAGAGUUUGAUCCUGGCUCAGGACGAACGCUGGCGGCGUGCUUAACACAUGCAAGUCGAACGGUGAAGCCCAGCUUGCUGGGUGGAUCAGUGGCGAACGGGUGAGUAACACGUGAGUAACCUGCCCCUGACUCUGGGAUAAGCCUUGGAAACGAGGUCUAAUACCGGAUACGUGACGCUCAGGCAUCUGAUGCGUCUGGAAAGAUUUAUCGGUCAGGGAUGGACUCGCGGCCUAUCAGCUUGUUGGUGGGGUAACGGCCCACCAAGGCGACGACGGGUAGCCGGCCUGAGAGGGCGACCGGCCACACUGGGACUGAGACACGGCCCAGACUCCUACGGGAGGCAGCAGUGGGGAAUAUUGCACAAUGGGCGCAAGCCUGAUGCAGCGACGCCGCGUGAGGGAUGAAGGCCUUCGGGUUGUAAACCUCUUUCAGCAGGGAAGAAGCGCAAGUGACGGUACCUGCAGAAGAAGCGCCGGCUAACUACGUGCCAGCAGCCGCGGUAAUACGUAGGGCGCAAGCGUUGUCCGGAAUUAUUGGGCGUAAAGAGCUCGUAGGCGGUUUGUCGCGUCUGCUGUGAAAACUCGAGGCUCAACCUCGGGCUUGCAGUGGGUACGGGCAGACUAGAGUGCGGUAGGGGAGACUGGAAUUCCUGGUGUAGCGGUGGAAUGCGCAGAUAUCAGGAGGAACACCGAUGGCGAAGGCAGGUCUCUGGGCCGCAACUGACGCUGAGGAGCGAAAGCAUGGGGAGCGAACAGGAUUAGAUACCCUGGUAGUCCAUGCCGUAAACGUUGGGCACUAGGUGUGGGGCUCAUUCCACGAGUUCCGUGCCGCAGCAAACGCAUUAAGUGCCCCGCCUGGGGAGUACGGCCGCAAGGCUAAAACUCAAAGAAAUUGACGGGGGCCCGCACAAGCGGCGGAGCAUGCGGAUUAAUUCGAUGCAACGCGAAGAACCUUACCAAGGCUUGACAUACACCGGAAACUUCCAGAGAUGGUUGCCCCGCAAGGUCGGUGUACAGGUGGUGCAUGGUUGUCGUCAGCUCGUGUCGUGAGAUGUUGGGUUAAGUCCCGCAACGAGCGCAACCCUCGUCCUAUGUUGCCAGCGGGUCAUGCCGGGGACUCAUAGGAGACUGCCGGGGUCAACUCGGAGGAAGGUGGGGAUGACGUCAAAUCAUCAUGCCCCUUAUGUCUUGGGCUUCACGCAUGCUACAAUGGCCGGUACAAAGGGCUGCGAUACCGCGAGGUGGAGCGAAUCCCAAAAAGCCGGUCUCAGUUCGGAUUGGGGUCUGCAACUCGACCCCAUGAAGUCGGAGUCGCUAGUAAU
rnacentral:rRNA from 1 species